rnacentral:rRNA from 1 species
GUUGGCGGCCACGGCGGCGGGGUCACACCCGGUCUCGUCAGAUCCCGGAAGUUAAGCCCGCCAGCGAUUCGGGUUGUACUCUUGUGCGAGAGCCAAGGGAAACCCCGAGACGCUGCCAGCC